CUACCGAACGUUGGAAACAGCGGUUAGGAGCUUACACCCACCCGUGUUUACAUACUAUUGUUGCUUUGGCGGGCCGUGGCCUCCACUGCGGGCUCUGCUCGUGUGUGCCCGCCAGAGAACCAAACUCUGAAUGUUAGUGAUGUCUGAGUACUAUCUAAUAGUUAAAACUUUCAACAACGGAUCUCUUGGUUCUGGCAUCGAUGAAGAACGCAGCGAAAUGCGAUAAGUAAUGUGAAUUGCAGAAUUCAGUGAAUCAUCGAAUCUUUGAACGCACAUUGCGCCCUGUGGUAUUCCGCAGGGCAUGCCUGUUCGAGCGUCAUUUAACCACUCACGCCUAGCGUGGUAUUGGGGCACGCGGUCUCCGCGGCCCUCAAAAUUAGUGGCGGCGCCGGUGGGCUCUAAGCGUAGUACAUACUCCCGCUAUAGAGUUCCCCCGGUGGCUCGCCAGAACCCCCAAUUUUUACAGGUUGACCUCGGAUCAGGUAGGGAUACCCGCUGAACUUAAGCAUAU
rnacentral:rRNA from 1 species